GUGCAACCACCUAACAUUGAAGCUUACAUUCUGCCAAGGCUAGAAAUGCGCUUUGAAACUUUCGAAGAAGCAACGAACUUCUACACCGUCUAUUCAAAGAACGCAAGUUUUGCUAUCAGGGAAAGCCCCAAGGUUGAGAACAUAGUCUACCUUUAUUGCACGUGUUAUGGAGUCUAUGAAUCAAAGGUUUCAGAAGCAAAUAGACAGUGGAACAAGACCAUAACCAGGACUAACUGCGGGGCUAAAAUUAGGAUGAAGAAGGAAAAGGAUGGAACACUAGUCGUAAAAGAGAUAAUCUGGGAACACAACCACAAGCUAUAGCUCAGCACAGAAAUGCUUGUCUUUUUGCACUCCCAUAAGAACUUUGACAAGACAAUAUUGGAGUACGUCAAGUACCUGCAGUUCAAAGGCAUUGAACACACACAAAUCAUGAGCAUACUGGGCAGCGAUGACCCAGGUAGCUACUUUCUAGAAAUGAAUGCCAAAGACCUAAUUAACAUCAAAGCAAAGAAUUCAAGGAUGGAUGACGUGGGCGAUGUCCUGAAGACUGUCAACUUCUUUAGGGAGAUGAAAGUAAUAAACAGGGAAUUCUUCUGCGAUAUACAACUUGAUGAGUCCGACAGAGUGAAGAACAUAUUCUGGGCGAACACGAGCUGCCGAGGGGAAUACCAAGACUUUGGUGACUGUGUGAUGUUUGACACCACGUAUAAGACCAAAAAAUACCAUAUGCCACUUGGAGUGUUUGUGGGUACCAAAAACCACUUUCAGACUACAAUCUUUGCUUUCUCCCUGAUAAGAGAUGAGGAUGCAGAUUCAUUCAGAUGGCUUUUCAAAACAUUUUUAAAAUGCAUGAGAGGGAAGGCUCCUACAUGCAUCCUCACAGACCAGUGUCCGGCAAUGGCUUUGGCGAUCCCAGAUGUUUUAAAGAACACAAUACAUAAGCUAUGCCGCUGGCACAUUAUGAAGAAGUACAGGGAACACCUACGUCUAUACGACCUCCACAAAACCUUUAAGGAUGAAUUCACAGCAAUCCUCAACUAGCCCCUCAUGCCAACUGAGUUUGAGACUGCCUGGAAAGAUCUCAUGGAUAGGUACAACCUCCAUGAUGAUGCCACAAUGGUGGCAAUCUGGAACGAGCGAGAGAAAUGGAUAUUAGCUUACUUCAAAGAAAUUUUCUAUGCCAGAAUGACAUUGACACAACAGAGUGAGAGCAUGAACUAUGUGCUGAAGAAGAACUACGCAUGUGAGAGACAAAACUUGCACUGGUUUGUCAGCCAAGUAAACACCUGCGUCCAAAACAGGAGGCAGGCAGAAAACAAGGAGACAAUGGGUAACCGAGUAUAG
rnacentral:rRNA from 1 species